GUAGGGAAUCUUGCGCAAUGGGCGAAAGCCUGACGCAGCCAUGCCGCGUGAAUGAUGAAGGUCUUAGGAUUGUAAAAUUCUUUCACCGGGGACGAUAAUGACGGUACCCGGAGAAGAAGCCCCGGCUAACUUCGUGCCAGCAGCCGCGGUAAUACGAAGGGGGCUAGCGUUGCUCGGAAUUACUGGGCGUAAAGGGAGCGUAGGCGGAUAGUUUAGUCAGAGGUGAAAGCCCAGGGCUCAACCUUGGAAUUGCCUUUGAUACUGGCUAUCUUGAGUAUGGAAGAGGUAUGUGGAACUCCGAGUGUAGAGGUGAAAUUCGUAGAUAUUCGGAAGAACACCAGUGGCGAAGGCGACAUACUGGUCCAUUACUGACGCUGAGGCUCGAAAGCGUGGGGAGCAAACAGGAUUAGAAACCCGUGUAGUCC
rnacentral:rRNA from 1 species